rnacentral:rRNA from 1 species
GUGGGGAAUCUUAGACAAUGGGCGCAAGCCUGAUCUAGCCAUGCCGCGUGAGUGAAGAAGGCCUUCGGGUUGUAAAGCUCUUUCGGCUGGGAAGAAAUCGCAUCUCCUAAUACGGGGUGUGGAUGACGGUACCAACAUAAGAAGCACCGGCUAACUACGUGCCAGCAGCCGCGGUAAUACGUAGGGUGCAAGCGUUAAUCGGAAUUACUGGGCGUAAAGCGUGCGAAGGCGGUGAUGUAAGCUAGAUGUGAAAGCCCCGGGCUUAACCUGGGAAUGGCAUUUGGGACUGCAAGGCUUGAGUGCGGCAGAGGAGACUGGAAUUCCUGGUGUAGCAGUGGAAUGCGUAGAUAUCAGGAGGAAUACCGAUGGCGAAGGCAGGUCUCUGGGCUGACACUGACGCUCAUGCACGAAAGCGUGGGGAGCAAACAGGAUUAGAUACCCUGGUAGUCC